rnacentral:rRNA from 1 species
GGCCACACGCGCGCUACACUGACAGAGCCAGCGGGUUCUCUCCUUAACCGAAAGGUUUGGGUAAACCUAGAAACUCUGUCGUGCUGGGGAUAGAGCAUUGCAAUUAUUGCUCUUCAGCGAGGAAUGCCUAGUAAGCGCAUGUCAUCAGCAUGCGUUGAUUACGUCCCUGCCCUUUGUACACACCGCCCGUCGCUACUACCGAUUGAAUGGCCAAGUGAGGCAUUCCGACCGGCCUGGGGAUGUUGGCAACGACAACCCUGGGCUGGGAAGUUUGUCAAACUUGGUCAUUUAGAGGAAGUAAAAGUCGWAACAAGGUUUCCGUAGGUGAACCUGCGGAAGGAUCAUUACUGAGUAUCUAAGGUUUACAAGCCCUCCUAGGGUGAGUACUCCUUUCUUCUCUUCACCCUUUGUUAUAAUUACUUAGUUGCUUUGGUAGAGUGCUUCGGCCUCUGCCAAGGGACCAUUUUAAACCCUUUGUUAUCCAAUAAUUGGUAGUCUUCUGUCUGAUUUUUAUAACUUUAAUAAGUAAAUAAAACUUUCAACAACGGAUCUCUUGGUUCUGGCAUCGAUGAAGAACGCAGCAAAAUGCGAUAAGUAAUGUGAAUUGCAGAAUUCCGUGAAUCAUCAAAUCUUUGAACGCACAUUGCGCCUUCUGGUAAUCCGGAAGGCAUGCCUGUCUGAGCGUCAUUACACCAUUCAAACCUCUCUUUUAUUAGAAGUGGCUUGGUUUUGGAAGCAAAUUGUCAGUUUUAGUACUGCGGUUUCUUCUGUAAUGCAUUGACGAACGUCUACUGUUCCUUAGUUGUAGCAAGCAUUUUCUCAACUUCAAGGUGGCAGUAGAAGUCCUACUUUCUCUUGCUAGUCCCUUUGGGAUUAUCAUUUUAAAGUUUGACCUCAGAUCAGGUAGGAAUACCCGCUGAACUUAA